rnacentral:piRNA from 1 species
UGAAAAAGGGCUACACGAUACAAA